AACGAACGCUGGCGGCAGGCCUAACACAUGCAAGUCGAGGGGGAAGCCAUUUUCGGAUGGUGGAAACUGGCGCACGGGUGAGUAACGCGUGGGUAUCUACCUCGGGGUGGGGAAUAACCGCUGGAAACGGCGGCUAAUACCGCAUACGCCUUAAGAGGGAAAGCUCCGGCGCCCUGAGAGGAGCCCGCGUUGGAUUAGCUUGUUGGUGGGGUAACGGCCUACCAAGGCUACGAUCUAUAGCUGGUCUGAGAGGAUGAUCAGCCACACUGGGACUGAGACACGGCCCAGACUCCUACGGGAGGCAGCAGUGGGGAAUAUUGGACAAUGGGCGCAAGCCUGAUCCAGCCAUGCCGCGUGAGUGAAGAAGGCCUUAGGGUUGUAAAGCUCUUUCACCUGCGAAGAUGAUGACGGUAGCAGGAGAAGAAGCCCCGGCUAACUCCGUG
rnacentral:rRNA from 1 species